GCUGCCAGUUGCCAACGGGUGAAGCCGGGCACUCUGGCGGGACUGCCAUCGACAAGAUGGAGGAAGGUGGGGAUGACGUCAAGUCAUCAUGGCCCUUACUGUCCAGGGCGACACACGUGCUACAAUGGCCGGCACAGCGGGAAGCGAGGCAGUGAUGCCGAGCGGAUCCCUUAAAGCCGGUCUCAGUUCGGAUUGAAGUCUGCAACUCGACUUCAUGAAGCUGGAAUCGCUAGUAAUCGCAGAUCAGCCAAGCUGCGGUGAAUACGUUCCCGGGCCUU
rnacentral:rRNA from 1 species